GCUGCUUGGUCUCGGGGACAGAAAACCACACUCUGAGCUGUUCAGCUGCGUUCUCCUGCAGCUCCUGCUGCUUUGCAAGGUACACAUGAGGUGCUGCACACCUCCAAACCAGGGAAGGAUGCUUCCCCUACUCAAAGGAUGAAUCACUGAAGCAGGAUGAGAACUUGUCCUCUGUGUCACUACAGACAGUCCUCACCGCUCCGCUUGGACAUGUGGCUUGGCGCUUGGGAGCAGCUAACGUGAUGAUGGUGGAACUAAUUACUCUUCAGACAUCUCUUCAUGUGUCGCCGUUGUGAAAGGGAGAGCUGCUCAUUUUCCAGAGAUGCUGAGUCGCUUUAUCAGACCUAACAAGCUUCCUUGCUGGCCCAAAUCAAAGACCUGACGGAGAGUUAUAAAAGAUGCUCUUUAGUUGGGAGGCAGUGAGACCCCGGAGAUCUAGCAGGGGUCACCAUGCAUCAAUCUCCUGCCACCAGAACUGACCGUGAGAUGUUCUGUCACUUCUUAGCUGGUCAAAUGCAACACAGACAUGCUCGAA